UUUCCCCAGAUGGUGGCAAAUCUGUAACCUUGUAGCUGUGCUCACUCCAAUUAUUAUCUACCCUAGGGAAGACUGGUGGCAAAUUUGCUUGCAAUAAGUAGUUUCUUUCUUCCUCUUGUCGUUUUUCUUAAAAGAGCUUGGUCCUUCUGUCAGGACAGUAUAUUCUUUCUAUGUACCAUUUUUUAUGGGUCCAGAAGAAACUAUUGACGAGAGCAGGCUGGAUAACAAAAUCUACAUUGGAACAGAAUUGGGGCAGCAUUGGAAGAAGAGAGUACUAUUUUUUUGAAAAUAUUUCUUUUGGCUGAAGCCAUGCUCCACCAAGGCUGUGGCUAUCACCUGUCCUGGAAGACAUCUCCUGGAGCAAGAGCUAGGCAGAGUUGGCUUUGGCAGCUCUGGCAGCAGGUUGGCAUGCUCCAAAAGCAGUGAUGAUCCUCACCACCCAGCCUAGGCACAGCAUUGGAAGAAAAACAUGGCUCUUCACAAUUCAACUCUGCAGCAAAUACAAUCCGUAUCAGUCUGCCACAGCAUGAAACGUUCCUUGGAGAAAAUAAAUGAGAGGAGUCACUACAGGUAGAUGCAGGGCUGGAGGUGCAAGAACAUGCAUUUGUCUCUGCUGCGUAGCCUGCUGUAUUUGUCUUCAUUGCAGGUGGGAGAUUUUGUUAUCACUGUGAAGCUUGCAGCCAUUCCUAAGACCAGGCAGUGGUCUGGGCUGCAGAAAGCCAAUAAAACUGACCUGUUAGUCUCAAGUCUCACCUGGACUUGAGGUACUUUCUUUGUUUUCCCUGCACUGCCUUUGGUCCUGAUUCCUUUAUCCUGCUCCUCCCUGUUGCUUAAAAAAAUCAGCUGCUCAGGCCUGUUUUCAUUGCAAACCACAUCCUAACCACCCUCUUCUUCUUGCUCUUUUUACUUCUUCCCUCUCAUUUUUAUUUUAUCUUCUGCACCACUUCUGUAUCCCCUUCUCAUCUUUUCUCCAGCAACACCUUUGUCAGGGAUUAUUUUUCUAGUAUAAAGCUAUGAAAUUACAACUUUCAGAAAUUACAUAUACAUAUACAUAUAUAUAUAUAUAUAUAUAUAUAUAUAGAUGCAGGCUUAAUAAAAGCUAUGAGGUAUCUAUGUACCUAGGCAUAGUGGUGACAUACAAAAGGAAAAAAGCACUUAAGUUCUGCUAAUCCUACACAGAAGUUAAGCACCCAGCACAAUUAAUGUGUUUUAUCGUGCAUUUUUAUGGUGCAUUUUUAUCAGUGCCUGAUACCUCUCUGAGCAUCUAAAUACUUCUGGAAAGUGAUGGUUGAUGGGGUUAAUUAUCAGCUUCACUUGUGCGCUGAACAUUUUUCCCAUACCUUCUCCCUCUUGAUUGAGAAUGAAAGUUCUCCAGGGCUGGGACUGCAUCCUUCGGUGAGUUUGUAUGGGCCUCAGGGCUUUUUCUGGACACUAACAUGUUACAAAUAAAUGUGCUUAGAAAGCCCGGUCUUACCAUUUAGACUUUCAGCUGUAGAAAGUCAACACCCCACAAGGGUCUUCUGCUAAAGGAAUGUAAAAUAAAAAGAAAAUAACUAUGGGUAAUCAUGCUGUUGGCUAAAAUGUGUUACCAAAAAUUACUGAUGACAAACCUCAAAAUUUGGUGAUUCACUCAAGCACCCAAAAAGCACUUACAAGAAACCGCAUGACUUAUUAUGUUAGAGGUCAGGGAUGGUUUCAUACAGUCUAUGCACGUAAUUAUGUAGUUUUGAAAAAGCAACCCUUGUCCUCUCAAGGUAGAUAAUAAACACUGUGCUGUAACUGAAAGAAGGCCAUGCAUUGCUUGGAAGAACAAACUCCUCCUCUUUGGCUCUUUCUCCUAUUUAUUUAUUCUUUGCACAGCAUCUAACACAAUAGUUGGCGAGGCAGCAAAAAAAACUCAAACAGCACAGCCUGAAACGUGGAAGGACAGAAUUGCCUUCUGCCUAAGCUGAUUUUAGUGUAGCUGCUUUUCAUGUGGGUAACUUCAACCAUGUUACGCACAUGAGGGCGAAAGAUGACCCUAGGUUCCCGGCUGAAAUUUAGCCACACAAACCAGAUCUGUGGGAUGAUUAUCAGAGGAAAGAGCCUGAGGAGCCCGUCCUGAGUUUUAAGUCAUGUCCCCUCAAGGGAGAUGCAAUGCUAUGACCCCAUCCUGCAUGGCACAGCACUGCUUCUGCCAGCUGAAACGCAGCUUUGAAAACAUUAAGAUGUUCACAUUCACUCUGGUGGAGAGAAAAGCAUGUCUAAAUUUGAAUGGAUCUGACUAUUCUGUAAGUCAUGUAAAGCUAUAAGCCAUUAUAACCAUCACAGGAAGCUGCCAGUUCAGUUUAUUUCAGCAAGAUUUCAGUGCCUAUGUACCUUUGAAUAGCUGGAACAAAGCAACUGGGUUUCAACUUUCACAGUUUACCAAAUGUGGCGUUGAUGGUGAGCCGUAUGGUGAUGUAAAGGACAGAGCUAUAUUUGUUUAAGGAACCUUCAGGCUGAAUUUCCAGCCUCUCUCAGCCUCUGAGUGCUCAGAGAGAGGAAAGGGGGAAGCUCUGAGGAAAACAAAUGUUUCCUGAACUUUGAGUUUCUUUGCUUUGAUAUAUUACCAGAUUUUUUUCUGUCAUGUGACCAGUCCUCCUUUAUAAACUUUGCUUUAUCUCAGUGACAUUUUGUGUCUAGAAAAUGAUUAAGCUGUCAUAUUUGGGGACUGGAAAGAGCAAAGGGCUGAAAGAGUUUGUUCUACCUGUCAAGUUACUCAGUUACAGCUGAGUCCCCUUGCAGACAUGCAUUUCCUCUAGCAUAUGCACGCACCACGUGCUGGCCCCUGCCUGCUGCUCACACUGUAGGAGCUAUAGAUAGAAAAAAUCUAUAUGUAUAAAUCACUAUGUAUUAAAAAUAUAUCACCAGAUCAGGAGGACUGUGGGACUCAGCAAAGUUCCCUAUUACUUAUUAGCCAGCCAGUGGUCUGGCUUGUCUGUCUCUGUCCUUGGCAAUAAAACAGAGAUGAAAGGUAGCCGCUUAUUUGGAGGCAGACUUAAAAGUACAGUAGCUAUCUGAGGCCCUAGCCUUAUCAAAGGCUGGGACAGCAAUAACAGUACUACGUGGAGCAACAAGGACGUAGUAGGCUGGGCUGUCAAACAGUUACACCUUGUGCGCAAACAGCAGUUUCACAUCCCCGUGGGCACCGAAAACACAGUUGGCAGCUGAAGGUAGGCUACAGCAGAUGGUGCCUGUUUGUGGUACCAGCCUCCUUCUCCAAGCCAGCACACGCACACCAACGCUGUGCACAGCAUCGCCUCCUAAAGUGGGGGAGCCUCUGCUGUAACCAGCUGGUGAAGUUCGAGGUUCCUGGGCAGAGCUUAGCCCCAGGCCCUUAGGGGAAGUUGACCAAAGCUGUCAAACCUGGGUCUGACAAACUGGAAGAUAAUUUUGUGCGAGCUUUCUUGCCUGUGAUCCAACAGAUCAGUGCCUGAUUUGGCUGAAAGCAACCAGCAGUGAGAGCAGCCUUCUGUAGAGCUGUUAAAACGGUAGUCUUGAAUUCUGGCAGGAGAGCUGGACAUGGGAAGCUCCGCAUUUAUGUUUUAGGGGUAGCGGAUAUGCCCUUUCAGGGAUGACCAUUAGAGUUUUGAACUACGAGCACCAUGUGGAAGCCAUAAGGAGUCCUGCUGGCCCUAGGGGAGAACUGCUGUGCUUAGCAGAGACCCGAGUCAAUGAUUUGAACAAAAAGGCAGGGCCUGUGUCAGGAAGAAAUAGGCUGAGGUACUGAAUCAGUCACUACAGGCUUUUUUUUUCCUCAUAAAGCAAUUUUUAAAAUUUACACAUUCAUUUCUAUAAUGCACUAUGGUUAGAUGUGUCUGAUAAAUUGUGUCCUGCAAAAUACAAACAGCAAACAUAGCAGAAAAGUCAGAAACAAGUGCUCCCUACAGCACUGUACCACCGGGACAGUCACCCGAGAACACGCUGAAAAGUGAAGGCUGUCCAAGGAGCCCACAGGUCUGAAAUUCAGCAGAUGGAUUUUGACAGUAAAGGUCAGAGACAUGCAUUAACAGGAUAUCAUAAAGUGGGUGUGGUGGAAGGCAAACUGCCUCAAACCCACUGGGUAACCUGGGUCCAAAUGUUGCAAGGCCUGGCGCUAACAAAUAGCUCUUUCUGGAGCUUUGGUUUGUGCUCUCUGCUGUGAAAUUAGUAAGUGAAAAUCAUAAAAGCAUUUUCGUUUUGUUGGAUAAGUCAACCAAAUAUUUGGAGUUGGAAGCAUUGCAAUGCAGUGUUUGUGCUGGAGUUUGAAUGCUUCUUAUUCCCAAUUCCUCUUUCCAGAGCAUUUUUUCCCCUAAAGAAAGGAAGCAGGAAGAAACCACAGCAAACCUGGUAAAGACACAACAUGGACACCAAAGACACUGAAAUGGCAAUAGCAGCAUAAAAUUACAUUUGCCUUGAGUCACAAGAACCUCAUUCGGAAAGCACACAAUAUUCAGACAUAGUUUCCUCAGAAGACUUCAUGAAUCUUACAGGCAGUUGGUACCAGCAGAAGCAGGUGUGAUACUGUUUUAAAUGCUAAUUUUAGUGCCAAACACACUUUGCUUCUGGAGAAUAAUCGUGAUGUGCUGGGUGAAUCUGUUAACAAGCUGGUGAAAGUAUCUUGAUAAGUUCACAAGAGCUUUUAAUAAAAUAGUGGAGUUUAAAAAUGCCCUGUGAAUUAUCUCCCACCUCUGAGUGAUAUUUCAGAUUACAAAACCUGGGGGUAGUAGGUUGCAAAAGAACUCCCAGGAAAAAUCUCCAAGUAUGCUUUCUAAAAGCAUGUGUUGGCCUUGCUUAGAAGCCUACCUGUACUGCACAGCUGAUGUUUCUGGAAACCCUAGGAGUUGCUGGAACCAGGCUACACAGCAUUAUAUAAAGUGGUUUGCUUCACUUCAGUACUGAUAAGAAAAUUCUUGAAAGUUGCUUAAGGGACAGUAAUUAUGGUGCUGAUUUCUUUUAUUUUGCUGCUCUGAAGCAGGGUUCUGAAGACAGACAGUGUAAUGGGAGAGGUGGUGGUUACUGAGAGAUCCUCCCUAUGUGUUUUCUCAUUCUUAAGGGCAAAUGAAGAAAUUUGUUGAAAACUUAAACUUGGAGCAAUUUUUCCUAUUCCUAUCUGUCAUGUGGUCAACAUUAAUAUUACAGACCAUGAUUUUAAAUCAUUAUUUAAUUUGAAAAUAUCUGGGGUGGCAGGGAGCGAGGAGGAACAUGAGAAAAAAGUCUGUAAAUUGUAUCCAAAGUUGCUGAGUCCUAUUUUCAGAUGUCAUGGGAAAUCACAUACUCUAAUUCCUUUCAUACAUUGAUCAAUCUCUUUUUCAAAUUGGGUAGAAAGUUCUCUCCUGCUGCUCCUCUUGAAAGCUCUUCCAAAACUUCCUUCCUCUGAUGGUUUGAAACAUUCUUCUACUUCCUGCAUAUAUUUCUCUAGGGGUAGCUUAUACACAUUGCUCUGAACAAACAUUGUCUUUAGUUUGAACAGCUCUUCUCUUUCCCAUGUUUUCAGAAAGGAAAGUCAUUAGCUAAAUAAGCCACUUUCUGUUGGCUUUGCUAUGUGAGAUCAUUUGUUCCAUUUGUCUUAAUUUCCUUUAAUUUCCUUUGAUAGAGCUAAUUCAGUUGACCUUUCAGAAAUUAUCAAUCUUAUAAUGGUUCCGAUAUUCAGGACCUACUUCUUUUUGAUAAUUACUCCUUUUUUUUUUCUCUUUCUGUGCAGCCACUCCAUGUAUACUUGCAUUGAGGUCCUUUUCUGCAUCUCUUCCAGUCUGCGUUCAUUAGCAAUGGACUUGAGUGACCAGAGCUGCAUUCGGCAUGCAGGAAGACCUCUUAACAGUGCCUGCUACAGAAACUGUUAUUACUCAUUUGUAACUAAUGAUCUACCAAUUUAGAGUAAAAAUUCUCAAAAUAUAUGGCCUUAAUCUUUACACUGAGUUAUUACAUUCUAUUAUUAGCACCAUUUCUGGGCACAGUUUAAUUGUUCCUUCCAGUUUCGGUGCACUGAGCUUCAUCAAGUUUACUUUUGCUGUGGGUAAAACAAUUUCCAUACCUAUGGAGUUACUCCCAUUUAUCAUACUGCUUUUUUUACUGCUAUGUUAAGUUUUAGCCAGGCUGAAGAUAGCUGAAAAGAAAGUAUACAGGCUUUAGACCACAUUUAGGAGGUGCCUAAUCUCUGCCUCAUGUCCUCCCUCUUUAUACAACAUCUGCUGCUAGUUUCAAUGUUCUUUCAUGCUUUAACUCAGCUCAGCUUGGAGAAGAAUUCUCACUUUAAUCUCUAAAUGUUUUGAACUCCAAGUCUCUGCUUAUUAGUCUAUUUUUGCAGUCCUAGUAACUUAUUUUGAAUUGGUCCAGGGAGGUAUGAAUAAAUUUGAAGACAGCAAGUGCAGAAAGAGUAGGAACGUUACAAGUCGGACCUGUGUUAGCCUUACCUCCCUAUUGCCUAUGAGUAGAUUUAGUACAGGGAUGCCUGACUAAACUGACUGAUUUCCCAUGAGCAAAUGGCAUGUCUAUCUGUAAUUCUGAGAACAGUGUGCUCCCAGUGAACACCUUCAUGGUGAAAACAAACUUAAAUAAAAUUAUCUCCAAGAUUUUAUUUUUCCUGUCUUCAGCAGCAGAAACCUAGAGGCCUUUCACUGAAGUUAAAGGAGUCACUGAUUAAAACGGAGAGUGGGGGAGCCUAGCUUCCAGUCCUUAGUAGUGAUUUAGAUGGGAAAUUCGCCUGGUAACAAUUUCACUGUUAAAAGGUCUCUGAAGUGGGGAUCAAACCAACUCAGCACUGCAGAUAACUGUAAUGAGAUAAAAAAUAAGAUGAAUGAGUUUGUGUUUGUAUAGCACUUGGAAUGCACAGAGUCCAAUAUAGAUGUUAAAUAUUAUUACUAAAUACAUGAGUGCUCUGUCAUGAGGAAAUUUUUUGCAAAAGCAAUGGAAUAGGUAAACUCAGAGACCUGGACAGGUCAUGAAAAAAAAAUCAUAUCAAUCAAACAGUACCCUUUCCUGGGCUACACCCUACUCUCCCAUAGUAAUAUCACUUGGGAAAGAUUUAUACCCACAUGCAGUGGCCAUAGCAACAGGAAUGAUUACAAAUAUAAGAGCUCAGUUGUGCCAGGUGAUCCCUAGGUUUCCAUUACAGCAGGGAACCUCUAACACCCAAUUGUGGUCUUCCUGUCAGUGUCAGCUACGAGCUUUGGCCUGUGGCUACCCAGGGAAGAGGGUCCUGUACAGUCAGAGUGUUAAGGAUGAUGCCAAACCCCAUGGGAUUCUGGAUAUUCACCUACACAGCAGAAAGAGUCUUCCUGAGACAUUGGCCUGGCUGAUACAUGUGUCCACCAAAACAUUCAAGCCCAUUGGAACAUGAGGACUUGCACAGUGACCAGCUGCUGCUCCCCAUCCUGGCUCUCCUCAGCCACCUCAGUGGAACGAGCACUUUGCAGUCACACCCUAUGGUAUGAGAAACAGCAUCAAGAUCUGGCGCCUAGGAGAUUCUCUGGACAUGAGCAGCCUGCCUCCUUGCAGGACAAGCUCCUACUCCUCCAGUGGCUGCUGUGCUCUGGUCAGCAGCACAGGGCAGGUGCUGGAGCAGAGGGAGCAGAUCCACGGCUGUAGUCAUCCAAGCUGUGCAGAGGCUGAAUGCCUGUGGAGAUGGAUCCAUGGGCAGCCUCUCUGCUUGCAGCGUGUCGAGCCAAGCACUUUGCUGGCUGAGCUGCUCUGUGUAUAAACUUUCCCAUGAUGAUCUGGGCAGCUUUUCUUAUUCCCUCAAGCGCAAAGCUUGUAAAUGGGACCAGUGCCACUAAGAUGAAUUUCUGUAGGCAGAAAGCAACAGAUAUGCUCAAAGUGACUUAUUUACAUUUACCAAUGCGAUUGUCUGUUCUGACAGUUAAGGAGUCAUUACAGAGUCUCUCCCAGAACAGUCAGUUUAGCCAAUGUUUCAGACAUGUACAAGCAAAAACAGGAGGAUUACUAGUGGAUGAUCUGGGGUUCAAUCACAUAUCCAAGGCACACGUCAGGAUUCAGCCUUACUAAGGUUAUUCUUGUGCAUUGUGCUUUUAUUGCAUGUUUUCUUUCCCAUCAUGGUUUUGUGCCAUGGAAAGUUCUCACUGGAAGAUUUGACACCCCAUGCAUGUCUUCCCAAAUGCAGAGAGAUAAAAGGAAGGUUAAAAAGAAAGCAGUGCCAUUGAAAUUCAAGGGUGUAGAUUUUUAAUAUCAGGUAGGCUUCUUUGUAACCCUUUGGUAUACAAUAUUCCUGCAACACUGCAGAGAGGCAUACUGCAAAUGAGUACCAGGCUAAUUGAGAACACAGGCCUAAAAAUAGAGGUGUCUGGGAAGUGAUGAUUUUCCCACAGAAACAUCAGGUUUUCAUAAAAAAAAAAAAAAAAAAGUUUAAAGUAUAAUGUAGAAAGGUUUUGAAUUAUUGCGCUUAAAUUUUAUGUUCUUCUUUCUGACAGACACUGAAGAUUUUUGUUGAAAAACAUUUAUAACAAUAACAAAAACAUUGCCUUCCUCAAGAAAACCAUGGCUACUGGCAUAAUAAUUAAAAAAGUCUUUAAAAUUUUAUAUUCAACUGAUAUUUUUUUUCUGCUUAUCUUUUUUUUUUCUAUCCUCUGCUUCUCACACUGACUGGUACUCGGGUGGUAACACUAAAGUGGCUAUUUAAGGUGGCUAUUUUUAAAAAAUCUUAGGUGGUACUAAGGAAAACCAACACUUCUUCUUUCUUAACUCAGGUCUUCUCCCACUGUUUUUUAUUUUCUUCAUAUUUGAUAGUGCUU